UGUGAGUGGUGAUUGGUUUAGCCCUGCACUGGGUCCUCUGCUGCAUGCACGGCUUCCCUAAAGGGCAUCUCGCCCUCUCCUGGGACACGCGCGCUUCACGAGCGUGUGUGGCCCCCUUUAAAUAACCUCUGUGUGUCAUGGGACCUGCGUCGCCACUGCUCCUGCAUUUCUCAAUACAGUGGGUUUAAUACAAACAGCUGCACGGAGGUUCUCCGGUGAGACACGGAAAGAGAAACAAAACUGCAUGAACAACCGGGAGGUGCUCGAGCAGGUGGAGCGCGGCUACAGGAUGCCCUGCCCCCAGGACUGCCCCAUCUCGCUACACGAGCUCAUGAUCCACUGCUGGAAAAAGGACCCCGAAGAGCGCCCCACUUUUGAGUACUUGCAGGGCUUCCUGGAAGACUACUUCACGGCGACAGAGCCCCAGUACCAGCCCGGAGAGAACCUGUAAGGCCGGAGCAGAGGCCGCCCCGCCCCUCCCCGUUAGCUUUCGGUUCGAUUCCGUAGCCAGCUGCUCCCAGCGAGUGGCCCGAACCGUCCAGGAUCAGAUUGCAUGUGACUGAAGCUGACGAGCUUCCACGGCCCUCAUUAAUGACACUUGUCCCCACAUCCGAACCUCCUCUGUGAAGCAUACGAGACAGAACCUUGUCGUUUCUCAGACUACGGAAAAUGCAUUGUAUCGAUGUUAUGUAAAAGGCCAAACCCCUGUUCCGUGUAAAUAGUUACUCCAGUGCCAACGACCCUAGUGCUUUCCUUUUUUUAAAAUGCAAAAUCCUAUGUGAUUUUAACUCUGUCUUCACCUGAUUCAACUAAAAAAAAAAAAGUAUUAUUUUCCAAAAGUGGCCUCUUUGUCUAAAACAAUAAAAUUUUUUUUCAUGUUUUAACAAAAAUCAA